rnacentral:rRNA from 1 species
GACGAACGCUGGCGGCGUGCUUAACACAUGCAAGUCGAACGUGAUUUUUAUGGAAGGACCUUCGGGGACGGAAGUAAAAUGAAAGUGGCGAACGGGUGAGUAACACGUGAGCAACCUACCUUACACAGGGGGAUAGCCGUUGGAAACGACGAUUAAUACCGCAUGAGACCACAAUACUGCAUGGUAUGGGGUCAAAGAUUUAUCGGUGUAAGAUGGGCUCGCGUCUGAUUAGCUAGUUGGAAGGGUAAAGGCCUACCAAGGCGACGAUCAGUAGCCGGUCUGAGAGGAUGAACGGCCACACUGGAACUGAGACACGGUCCAGACUCCUACGGGAGGCAGCAGUGGGGAAUAUUGCACAAUGGGGGAAACCCUGAUGCAGCGACGCCGCGUGAGCGAAGAAGGUUUUCGAAUCGUAAAGCUCUGUCCUAUGAGAAGAUAAUGACGGUAUCAUAGGAGGAAGCCCCGGCUAAAUACGUGCCAGCAGCCGCGGUAAUACGUAUGGGGCGAGCGUUGUCCGGAAUUAUUGGGCGUAAAGGGUACGUAGGCGGCCUUUUAAGUCAGGUGUGAAAGCGUGAGGCUUAACCUCAUUAAGCACUUGAAACUGGAAGGCUUGAGUGAAGGAGAGGAAAGUGGAAUUCCUAGUGUAGCGGUGAAAUGCGUAGAUAUUAGGAGGAAUACCGGUGGCGAAGGCGACUUUCUGGACUUUUACUGACGCUCAGGUACGAAAGCGUGGGGAGCAAACAGG